UACGUAGGUGGCGAGCGUUAUCCGGAAUUAUUGGGCGUAAAGAGCGCGCAGGUGGUUGAUUAAGUCUGAUGUGAAAGCCCACGGCUUAACCGUGGAGGGUCAUUGGAAACUGGUCGACUUGAGUGCAGAAGAGGGAAGUGGAAUUCCAUGUGUAGCGGUGAAAUGCCUAGAGAUAUGGAGGAACACCAGUGGCGAAGGCGGCUUCCUGGUCUGUAACUGACACUGAGGCGCGAAAGCGUGGGGAGCAAACAGGAUUAGAUA
rnacentral:rRNA from 1 species